UGCAAAUUCACGCCCAUCAGCACUUGUCAUCUCUGAUGGAAUUUACCCUUUGACAUUCAGUUUCCCCUUCCCACUUGGAGGCAGAAGUUUCAUCUUUGCAAAGCACAUAAGUUGUUUCCUUGGAAAAAGCAAGAAACAUGUUCUCUUGCAGGGAAAAGACGGCUUACUUCACCAUGGAGACCUUAGGGAGAAAUAUUCCUGUUUAUUUCAUCUGCAUUUAAAUUUAUGUAGAACAAGAUGAGAUCUGCUGACUGCAGUGCUGCAUUUAUAGACUUAGUACUUCUCUGCUGUUGACUGCUUUGCCUGACAAGGAGCAUAUAUCUCAAGAUACCAAAAUUACCAGAAAUCUUCUUCCUACUCAUAAAUGUGAUUGUUUAGUGAUAUUGUCUACUAAUGGAUCUGGGUAAAUGAAUUUUGGACCUCGUUUGCAAUUUUUAUUUUACUCAGCAGACAGUAGCAUACAAUUAUACUAUAAAUCUCUGUUAACAGGAAGAGAGAAAGUGCUGCAUGAUCAGCUAAGGGACCACAGAUUUGCCUGGAAACUUUGGGAGCUGGACCAACAGGAACUUCUCAUCUUCUGUUUCUGUCAUUAUAAGCACUGUUUUGUAA
rnacentral:lncRNA from 1 species